GACUGAGACCACCACCCUCAACUGGACUGCAAUCACCACUUUUGACCAGACUGCAACAGUUCUCCCACCAGCAGGUUUUUCCCUUCUCCCUUUACUUUGGACUCAGGGAGGGCCCAAGGAACACCACUUUGUUUAUGCCCCAGGGUACUGGGUUAUACAUUUGGGCUUUGUGGGUUAAAACCAAUUGCUUAUCUGAGCCCAGAAAAUGU